UCUGGUUUAAUGUCAUAGUGCUGACAGUGGACUGUUGAUUGAGGAGAUGGUCUCAGGGGUUAAUGUCAUAGUGCUGACAGUGGACUGUUGAUUGAGGAGAUGGUCUCAGGGGUUAAUGUCAUAGUGCUGACAGUGGACUGUUGAUUGAGGAGAUGGUCUCAGGGGUUAAUGUUAUAGUGCUGACAGUGGACUGUUGAUUGAGGAGAUGGUCUCAGGGGUUAAUGUCAUAGUGCUGACAGUGGACUGUUGAUUGAGGAGAUGGUCUCAGGGGUUAAUGUCAUAGUGCUGACAGUGGACUGUUGAUUGAGGAGAUGGUCUCAGGGGUUAAUGUCAUAGUGCUGACUGUGGACUGUUGAUUGAGGAGAUGGUCUCAGGGGUUAAUGUCAUAGUGCUGACAGUGGACUGUUGAUUGAGGAGAUGGUCUCAGGGUUAAUGUCAUAGUGCUGACAGUGGACUGUUGAUUGAGGAGAUGGUCUCAGGGGUUAAUGUCAUAGUGCUGACAGUGGACUGUUGAUUGAGGAGAUGGUCUCAGGGGUUAAUGUCAUAGUGCUGACAGUGGACUGUUGAUUGAGGAGAUGGUCUCAGGGGUUAAUGUCAUAGUGCUGACAGUGGACUGUUGAUUGAGGAGAUGGUCUCAGGGGUUAAUGUCAUAGUGCUGACAGUGGACUGUUGAUUGAGGAGAUGGUCUCAGGGGUUAAUGUCAUAGUGCUGACAGUGGACUGUUGAUUGAGGAGAUGGUCUCAGGGGUUAAUGUCAUAGUGCUGACAGUGGACUGUUGAUUGAGGAGAUGGUCUCUAGGCCCAUAUGACAUGUUUUAAGACUUAUAGUUUUUGAUGCUCAGUGUGUAAUCGCCACAAAUUUUGCAAUUGUUGUACAGCGUGCAGCCAUUUAUCUCGAUCAGCAUGGUGUUAUGUUCAACAUAAGCUGUAACUUAAUGUAUAUUCCAUUCAUGGUUUAUUUACUAAGACUAACGCUCAGGUAUCCUCAUCUACUUUGCAUGUGAAUAAGUCAAUUCUCAUAGGAGCUAUAAUGUGCAAUAUAAAUUGCAAUAGCAACAAAAUAUAUUAUCAUUGUUUUUUUGGGGGGACUGACAAGAUAUCGAUGUGAUAAAUAACAUUAUAGAGAGACAUGAGCAGAACACAUUGCUUGCAGACAGUACCACCAAUGUUGCCUUGUUGGUACAUGGUUACAGGUCAAUAUGUUUAUUAACUGAAAUGGGUUGCCUUGGAUUAAAGACGGAUGUUAUA